UUUUUUUUUUUUUUUUUUUUUAAGAAAACAGCAAAAGAAAAAGCAAAAAAAAAAAAAUUAUAUAUAUAUAUAUCUACAACCCACCGCUCCCUGCAUUGGAUAUUUUGGGGUUUAAGGCGACGAUUUCCAGGAGGGAAGGAGAAAAGGGAAGAAAGCAGCACCUCCCCCAGGAGGCGGACAAAGACACGUGGGUGAUUUUGUAUAUGUGGCAGCGUUGCACAAAGCGCAGAGGACGGAGUGCAAUACGGAAAGUGCGCGGCUCCGGGAGGAGGGACCCAGUGCUGCACCUUCACGGGAAUGUAAAUAGCAUCUGCAGAGGUCCAAAAAGUACCCUAACGAUGGUGAUGGUGAUGGGAAGAGACGUUUGCCAAAUAAAGGAUGACGAUCCACACGGGAGGAUGUGGCGUGUAGGAGCUUAGGCUGAACCACGAAGCAGAAGUCGUGUGCUCGAUAGGAGCUUUAGUUUUCCGGAUUUGCAAAAACCCAUCCUGUGUGUUUUCUGUAGGCAGGGGAGGAGGAGGGGGUCGGGCUGCUCUGGUGGUGGUGCUGAGGGGCUGGCUGGGCCGUGCCAUGGUGUAACAUGAUGUGCCACGGUGUGCCGUGCCAUGGUGUGCCAUGGUAUCCCAUGCCAUGGUGUGUCAUGAUGUGCUAUGAUGUGCCGUGCCAUGCCAUGCCAUAACACAGUGUGCCGUGCCCUGCCAUGGUGUGCCAUUGCGCGCCAUGGUAUCCCAUGCCAUAGUGUGUCAUGUGCCAUGGUGUGCCGUGCCAUGGCAUGCCGUGCCAUUAUGUGCCAUGCCAUGUCACGGUGUGCCACAGUAUGCCACAUCGUGCUGUGAUGUGCUGUGCCAUGGUGAGCCAUGCUGUGGAUGCCGUGGUGUGCCAUGCCAUGCCAUUCCAUGGCGUGCCAGGCCAUGCCAUGGUGAGCCAUGCUGCAGGUGCCGUGGUGUGCUGUGUCAUGUCAUGCUGUGCCAUGCCAUGCCGUGGUGCCCCAUGCCAUACCACGCCACAGCAUGGUGCCAUCUCCCACCCCUAGCCCCACUGCCAGUCUGUGUACACCCCAAGACCCCAUGCCGGGGGCCGUGCCGGGGGCCCCUUGCGUGACUGUUCACUUUAUUUAUGGUGUGACAUAUGUAAUAUUGUCUAUUUUUCUUACGUUUCCUGAGAAGAGGUAAUAUAUAAGAGUCUUGCGGGUGCUCCCAUCGGGGCCGCCUGCUCCCUGGGUGUCCGUCCCCCCCCCUGACCCCGUGUGCCCCCUCCCCACCCUGCGCCGGGGCUCUGCCUCUCUACCUCCGCCUCGCCGGGAAACAGCGGACGGGAGCACUUACACGGCGUCUGCUCUCGUUUCCAACUCCUUUCUGUUUUGCUUUCUUUUUUUAUUAUUCUUUUUUAAUUAUUUCUUUUCCCGUCGCUUUGUGGGUUGUUUUUGUUUUUGUUUUUUUUUAAUUAUUUUUUUUAUUAUUUUUUAAACAAUAAAAAUACCCUAACGAACCUUGCAUCAAAACCAAAAGCCGAGGGAGGGAGGGAAGGGGAGGUGGGAGGGGAGGGGAUGGGCGGUGUGGAUGUCCAAACCAGAACGACAGCUUUAAAGUGUGAUAUUUCCCAAAAAUAACAAUGCUGGGAGGACGGCGGCCGCGGGGGUGGCCGGAGCAGCGGUGCUUCUGUAGGGUUCUGCUCCAAAGUGGGGCACUUCUGUAGGGUUCUGUUCCAAACGGGUGCUGGGAUGUGCAUGGAGACGGGGAGGCGCACCCCAUGCGAUGCCUUGGUGGUGUCCCUUGGUGGCUUUGUGGCACCCGGGAGGUGGCAGAUGGCUGUCCCGUGUGGUCCUGGUGCAACUGCACGGCCCUGGGGACAUCCUGGGUGCUGCUUGGGGUGCCCUGUGCCAGCUCAGGUCCCUGCAGCCACCUGCUCCCGUUUUGGGUAUCCCCGUGUCAUGGCUGUAGUGAGGCUCAUGGCAUGGGGGCAUCCCACCCGAGGUCUCUGACUCCACGGGACGGCAGAGCUGUGCUUUGGGGUGCAGGAGGAGGCACAGCAAUGGCUCACUCCCAUCCCUCAGCACUGCACUGGGGCCAUGUAUCCCCCACCCCAAAACCCACGUGAAACCAAAGUGCUGCCUCCCAGCAAUGCUUCCAGGACCCCAAACCUCCCCGGGCAGCCCCCAGCGGUGUCACCGCCGCCCCUGGCCCAUAUACUCAGAGCAUCCCCUGCUCCUCGCCUGGCUUUGGGGAUGGGGAUCAUCCACAGCAGCUCUCCUCAGAGACCCCUCUGAUGCCAUGCAAAGCACAGCACCGCGAGGGAGGUGUCGUGCUGCCGUCCCCCCUGCCCCGGCAGUGCCACACCAGCCACGGGGAUGGGGACAGUGGGGGUCCCCAGGGCUGGGGGCUGAGGGCAGAGCUCUGGUAGUGGUUUUGGGGCCAGCACAGAGAGAUGACUCAGACACAGAGUGGUAGGACUUUCCUUCGGCAUGCUGUCCCUCCCCCCCUCCCCGCGCUGUUCCCCGCUUUCUCUUCGUGUACUGUAUGUUCGACCUGUGAAAGAUGUAAACUUUAUGAUUCAGGUUCUGUCUGUUCUUAUCUCUGUAUCUGUGUAAUAAAAGACGA
ensembl:lncRNA